CGCUUGAAGAUGAGCUUGCGUCUGAUUAGCUAGUUGGUGAGGUAACGGCCCACCAAGGCGACGAUUGGUAGCCGGACUGAGAGGUUGAACGGCCACAUUGGGACUGAGACACGGCCCAGACUCCUACGGGAGGCAGCAGUGGGGGAUAUUGCACAAUGGGGGAAACCCUGAUGCAGCGACGCCGCGUGGAGGAAGAAGGUUUUCGGAUUGUAAACUCCUGUCGUUAGGGACGAUAAUGACGGUACCUAACAAGAAAGCACCGGCUAACUACGUGCCAGCAGCCGCGGUAAAACGUAGGGUGCAAGCGUUGUCCGGAAUUACUGGGUGUAAAGGGAGCGCAGGCGGACCGGCAAGUUGGAAGUGAAAUCCAUGGGCUCAACCCGUGAAUUGCUUUCAAAACUGCUGGCCUUGAGUAGUGCAGAGGUAGGUGGAAUUCCCGGUGUAGCGGUGGAAUGCGUAGAUAUCGGGAGGAACACCAGUGGCGAAGGCGACCUACUGGGCACCAACUGACGCUGAGGCUCGAAAGCAUGGGUAGCAAACAGGAUUAGAUACCCUGGUAGUCCAUGCCGUAAACGAUGAUUACUAGGUGUUGGAGGAUUGACCCCUUCAGUGCCGCAGUUAACACAAUAAGUAAUCCACCUGGGGAGUACGACCGCAAGGUUGAAACUCAAAGGAAUUGACGGGGGCCCGCACAAGCAGUGGAGUAUGUGGUUUAAUUCGAAGCAACGCGAAGAACCUUACCAGGUCUUGACAUCCGAUGCAUAGUGCAGAGAUGCAUGAAGUCCUUCGGGACAUCGAGACAGGUGGUGCAUGGUUGUCGUCAGCUCGUGUCGUGAGAUGUUGGGUUAAGUCCCGCAACGAGCGCAACCCUUAUUGCCAGUUACUACGCAAGAGGACUCUGGCGAGACUGCCGUUGACAAAACGGAGGAAGGUGGGGAUGACGUCAAAUCAUCAUGCCCUUUAUGACCUGGGCUACACACGUACUACAAUGGCGUUUAACAAAGAGAAGCAAGACCGCGAGGUGGAGCAAAACUCAAAAACAACGUCUCAGUUCAGAUUGCAGGCUGCAACUCGCCUGCAUGAAGUCGGAAUUGCCAGUAAUCGCGGAUCAGCAUGCCGCGGUGAAUACGUUCCCGGGCCUUGCACACACCGCCCGUCA
rnacentral:rRNA from 1 species